CAAAUGGUUCAUCAAGACUUCAAAAAAGAAUAGAUACGAUUGCAUUGCAUAUAGUAACAGAUGCGAUCAUACCAGCACUAAUGCACCGGAUCCCAUCAAAACUCCACAGUUAAGCGUGCUUGGGCGAGAGUAGUAUGAGGAUGGGUGACCUCCCGGAAAGUCCUACUGUUGCAGCCCUCUUUUUUCGGUUUUUCUCUAUUUUGUUUUGUUAAAAAUGUAUAACUCUAUAACUUUAAGACCGUGAGGCCAACCUUGACAUGUGAUACCUUUUCGGAAAGCCUAAAGAGAGCUCUCCGAUGAAAGAGGAAGGAAAAUGGAAUUCUUCUAUUUUUUUUUUUUCUUCUCCAAAUUUUGACCUUAAUGUACUUUUUCGAGCCUUUUCGUGAUCUUUGCUAUAUUACGGGGCAAAAUUAUAUGUUCGAACAUUGUUUUCGAAUAUUUUGUAUCUAUCAAAGCUCUUAUAAACAAGAUAGGGUAUUCCUACAUAGCUGGUGGGACCCAUGGCAAAUGAAUCAUAAAGUCUUCAAAAAGGAAUAGAUACGAUUGCAUUGCAUGUAGUAACAGAUGGGAUCAUACCAGCACUAAUGCACCGGAUCCCAUCAGAACUCCGCAGUUAAGCGUGCUUGGGCGAGAGUAGUACUAGGAUGGGUGACCUCGAGGAAUGUCCUCGUGUUGCAUCCCUCUUUUUUUUUCGGUUUUUCUCUUUUUUUGUUUUGUUAAAAAUGUAUGACUUUAUAACUUUUAGACCGUGAGGCCAAACUUGGCAUGCCAUACCUUUUCGGAAAGCCCAAAGAGAGUUCUCCAAUGAAUGAGGAAGGAAAAUGGAAUUCUUCUAUUGUUUUUUUUCUACUCCAAAUUUUGAUCUUAAUGUAUUUUUUCGGGCCUUUUCUUGAUCUUUGCUAUAUUACGAGGCGAAAAAUUAUAUGUUUGGACAUUGUUUUCGAAUAUUUUGCAUGUAUCAAAGCUCUUAUAAACAAGAUAGGGUAUUCCUACAUAGCUGGUGGGACCCACGACAAAUAGAUCAUAAAGUAUUCAAAAAAGAAUAGAUACGAUUGCAAUGCAUGUAGUAACGGAUGCUAUCAUACUAGCACUAAUGCACCGGAUCCCAUCAGAACUCCGCAGUUAAGCGUGCUUGGGCGAGAGUAGUAUGAGGAUGGGUGACCUCCCGGAAAGUCCUCAUGUUGCAUCCCUCUUUUUUUCGGUUUUUCUCUAUUUUGUAUUGUUAAAGAUGUAUGACUCUAUACCUUUAAGACCGUGAGGCCAAACUUGACAUGUSA
rnacentral:sRNA from 1 species